GAGUGUAGUGCCUUACUCCAGAGGGUGUCAUUCAGGUAAACUAAAGCAUGUCUGUCACCUUCUUGAGUGGAGUAAUGCACAU
rfam:TPA: Bos taurus chromosome X, whole genome shotgun sequence.